AGAAACCGCUUUGGUGACAUCUCCUUUUGGAUGAACACCCUCUUCCAGAGGAAGAUCAUGGAACAGACCCUCCUAGAAGCUGUGUUAAGGCACAUACGAGACAAAGAGGUGAUUUGAGACAGCCAGUAUGGCUUCACCAAGGGCAGAUCUUGCCUGACCAAUCUGGUGGCCUUCUAUGAUGGAGUUACGGCUUCGGUGGAUGGGGGAAGGACAAUGGAUGUCAUCUACCUGGACAUUUGCAAAGCCUUUGACAUGGUCCCUCACCACAUCCUGCUCUCUACAUUGAAGAGGAGUGGCUUUGAAGGAUGGACUGUUCGAUGGAUUAGGAAUUGGCUGGCUGGACACAGCCAAAGGGUUGUGAUCAAUGGUUCUGUGUCAGGGUGGAGGCCGGUCACAAGUGGUGUCCCUUAGGGGUCAGUUCUGGGACCAGUGCCCUUCAACAUCUUCAUUAAUGACACAGAUGAUGGCAUCGAAUGCACCCUCAAGAUCCAAGAAGGUCUUGAUCUGAGCAUCCUGCAGAAGAAAUGCAACUGCAAUGCAUUGGGAAGGAUUAGCUGUGAGCAAUAUGAACACAAUCCAUUCAGUACUACUUGGCCUGGAGGUAAAAGGAGAGUGGAAUGGUAUCAAGUAUAAAUGCAGCAACAAUGCUGUUUUUCACAUUUGCAGCAUAACAGUAUGUUGCUCUAUAAUAUUCAC
ensembl:lncRNA